rnacentral:tRNA from 1 species
ACCCGUCUAGCUCAGUUGGUAGAGUAUAAGGCUUUUAACCUUGUGGUUGUGGGUUUGAGCCCCAUGGUAGGCA